GCGGAUGACUCCAGAUGAAGGUUUACAACACGACUGGAUCCUCGAAGGAAAUUUCAACAGAGUCCGUCCAAAAACCAAGCCAACGGUGAAGAAGGUCUCAGACAGUUCAACCAACACAGAAAACAGCAACGAGCACCAUCACCGUAAACAAGUUCACAAUAAGCCUGCAGAAAAGGUCACCUCAGAAAGCCAUGCUAAUGACAAGCUGAAGAGAGACACUUCAUCAUCAGGAGCAAAGAUGGAGCCCGCUGAGCGUUUGCGGCCCAUCGGAGCCUCAGCGGAAGAGGAAGUGUGUGAGAAUCAGCAAGAAGAAGGUGGAGAGAGGCCUGUUCACAUCAUCAUCAAGCCUCAAGAAGAAGUGGGCACAGAGAGAAAAGAUAGUGAGGAACCGUCUCAGUGUUUACCCCCUAUCAUGUAACAGUCUACAUCCUGCUGCAUUCAUGGAGACAAUCAGACAUCCCACCUCCCACCUAAGAUCAUCCAGAUGCUGAAGUGGAUUUAAAAUGAUGCCUGAGAGAAAGGUGCAGUUUUGGGCUUUAUUAACACCAAACAUCACAUUCGCCAAUGUGUUAAAAUGACGCCAGGACUUAAGGGCACAAACAGUAAGCACAAAUAUCAACAAACACACUGUAUUAGGUGUUUUUAAAGACAGUUGGGCACAGAAAAACAGUCGCGUUUUACUUUAUUUAUUAGCUUCUAUCAAAUAUUUUAUGUUGAAGACUUACCCGCAUAAAAUCACAAGAAAUAAAAGCCAGAGAAAUGUCUUCAAUGGAGGUUUUUUUUUACUACCAGGAGGAAACUAACUACUUCCUACAUGGUGAACUUUUUUUAGUUAUUAAAUACUGAGGAAGAUUUAUAGGGAGGAGGUGGGAAAUAUCAGUCAUCAGCAAAGAAAUAGACCCUCUAGUGACUGCUUUAGCUAUUACCUUCUGUGGUACUUUAUGAUAUAUGACAUUGAAUCAAGCUGUUCUUGUUUUACAGUCUAGAUGCAGUUGUAGUCCACAUUCAAACACACUGCAGUUGAAAUAUCAGGCUGUCUAAUGGUUGGAAAUCUAAAAUAUAGUGCAUCAUUUACUUUUUGCUCUCUGCUGUAUUAUUUGUUGAACCCAGUCUUUGCUGUGCAUUGAAAUCUUUUAUAAAUUUUCAAACUUUCACCAUCAUGUUAAACUAAGUAGCUGAGCUUAGAAAGUGCAUGGAUAGAAAUGUUUUUGGUUUUUACUUUUUUUUUUUGUCAUUUUAGCCUCAUCAUAAAUUCACAAUGUUUAACUAUUGUGUGCAAUAAAGGCUGAGCCAAAUUUUUUUUUUUUUAAUGUCAAACACAUAAAUGUUGUGUACCUUUAAUGUAGAAUGCAGUUGAUUGUAGAUUAUUUCCCAUAUUAUGGAGUAUAUUUGAUCAUAUGUUUCAUAUUUGUUUAAAAUUUUCUGUUCAACUCUAAUUAAAUAUGUAUUUGUAACAGAAUCCAUUGUAUAUAUAUAUCAGCUGUAAUUUCCUAUGUAUGUGUAACACAGAAGAUAUUUUACAAAAUAUUACAGACAGUUGUUGAGGAGUUUAGACAAGGUUUUACUUGUUGUGUUGUUACUGUACGAAAACAUUUUGUAAGCCUGUGUUAUCCAGAAUAUUUUUUAUAUUAGAAAAAGAGGACAAUCCUAAUAUCGAUAGUCUGUGCCUUGCAGUAUUAGAAAUCUUGCACUUUAUUAUUGUGUGUGAACCCUGGUGUAGAAACCUUUGGAUUUGAUUUUCUUGUCAAACGAAAAUGAGUUGUGCAAUAUCAUAUUAGACUGCACUGCCAGGUUCUCUUUCAUUUAGACAAAAUUCUGUUUCAUCUAAUGUUACAGAGCUUUAAGACACAAUUCAUCUUUUUACAACUGAAGUAUGUUUUUAGUCGCCAACGCAGACCCAACUUUGUUAAAUAUAGACUUGUGCCCUCACCACCUAUUAGCUAAGUAACCAG
rnacentral:lncRNA from 1 species